ensembl:lncRNA
GGACCAGUUUGACCCGAAGACAAUGUUCAGUUCCUCCGAGGGACAGUUUUGGAGAUUUGGGUCCGACGUGGGAGCGUAGAAGAGAAUUUACAAGAAGCUCCUUCUGCGCACCCAUCCGAGGAGCGGGUGUAGACAUGAAGAGACUGCGCGUUCCUCGGCCGCGUUCGGGGUAAAAGAUCAUGAGGCAAAUAAACACGGAUUUUCUUGAGGAAAAUGAAUGGGCCCAGGGACCACGUUUCAUGCCUUACUGAACCCCCGACUCACUCGCUUCGAAGGCCAUCUGUCCUUGAGACAAAAAGACCACUUUUUGUGCUCGAAUGAACGACAUCAUAAUAACGGACGACGGCGAUUCUUAGCCCUCCGUCCACCUCUUCACAGAGCGUCCGUACUUUCUAAGCCUUAUUUUGAAGGAGGUGUAAUUUCUACAGAACAGUACCAAGCAGAGAGAACUGUGGAUCUUCACUCACAAGAAAGUCAAAUUAACAACCAACCUGCUUUACUGAGACCUAUCCUGUUUGAGGCACUGUUAUGUUUAGUAUUAAGAAGGUCUAAGUUUUCUCAUCUUUAAAUGGGAAAUAUGAAACUCAAAGAAGUUAACAGCCACAUGCCCAAAGUCAAUCAGUCAGUGGGUAAGUAUCAGCGUUGGGGAUUUUUUUUCUUUUUUUUUAAUGUUUCUUUUUGAGAGGGAGAGAGACAGACAGAGUGUGAGCAGGGAAGGGCAGAGAGAAGAAGACACAGAAUCUGAAGCAUGCGCCAAGCUCCCAGUUGCCAGCACAGAGCCCAGUGCGGGGGGCUUGAACCCACAAACCGUGAGACCAUGACCUGAGCUGAAGUGGCAUGCUGAACCAACUGAGCCACGCAGGUGCCCCUCAGAGCUGGGAUUUUAACCCAGAUCAGUGGAUUAUACAGGAAGACCUCUGACUACCUGUCCACGCUGUGACUGGUAUGUGUGUGUGGAAGGCACUUGCCAUGCCUGUUUAAAAAACGAGUGGAAACAUCAAACAAAGUGAAUUUGCAUGAAAAGAGCAAUGAUGUCUCCAUCUUAUUCAAGACCUUCCAAUACAAAAGGCUUCCUCUAGAUGUCAGUUUCUUCUUCGCUGUUCUGGGGAUAUUGAAUUCACAGUGUGGCUUGGAGACCUAAUUGGUGUAAGACGUGGCGAGACCUGGAAGAUCCUGGCGCGCAGUAGACGGUAAGGAUGAUGACGUUGACCAUGAAGUUGACGACGACGACGAUGAUGAUGAUAAUGAUAACGAUGGCAUAAAUGUGUUUGUAGAGGAGGGGGUUUGAGAAUUCUGAAUUGGGGUCAGACUCAAUAUUUUAACAUGUUUUCCAUACUGAACUGAUGCAUCAAGACUGGGUGGGGCAGCAGGCAAGGUUUCCAGUGUUUUUCUCCACUUCACGUGCACCCUGUACAUUAUGAUCCGUGAUAACUUAGACCAGCAACCUCACCAGCAGAUGGAGAAAUGUCCCUAAUUGGGUCUACCAGCUCUGAAAUCAUACUGGAACCAGCUGGAUUGCCCAAGGUUUCCAGCCUCACGGCUGGUGGAGCAGAAUACUAAGGUCACCUGGAUCUCUUGGGAGUAUUACAAAAGCCUUGUUUCAGGCGUCACCUGGCUCUUUAAAAAUAUUUUUGAAUAAAAUGUAUACAGGCCUCUAUGAAUCUAUGCCC